UGGAUAUUUGUCCGGGAUUGUACGCGC
rnacentral:sRNA from 1 species